UCUUUCCAGGUUGCAGCCUGAUUUAUCAGGCUGAUGGCUGGUGACUUUUUAGUCACCAGCCU
rfam:Brenneria sp. EniD312 chromosome, whole genome shotgun sequence.